rnacentral:snRNA from 1 species
GCAGGAGUGGAGAUACUGCGAUCAACAGGUUUUCUCAGGGUGAGGCCUGCCCACUGCACUCUAGGCAGGCUGACCCCUGCGAGGGUCCCAAAUGCAGGGAAUCUGACUGCACAGUUUAGUGGUAAUAGGGGACUGUGGUUGCACUUCCCCCCC